rnacentral:rRNA from 1 species
UACGUAGGGUGCAAGCGUUGUCCGGAAUUAUUGGGCGUAAAGAGCUCGUAGGCGGUUUGUCGCGUCGGCUGUGAAAACUCGGGGCUCAACCCCGAGCCUGCAGUCGAUACGGGCAAACUUAAGUGCGGUAGGGGAGACUGGAAUUCCUGGUGUAGCGGUGAAAUGCGCAGAUAUCAGGAGGAACACCGGCGGCGAAGGCGGGUCUCUGGGCCGUAACUGACGCUGAGGAGCGAAAGCGUGGGGAGCGAACAGG